rnacentral:rRNA from 1 species
GACGAACGCUGGCGGCGUGCUUAACACAUGCAAGUCGAACGGAAAGGCCCUGCUUUUGUGGGGUGCUCGAGUGGCGAACGGGUGAGUAACACGUGAGUAACCUGCCCUUGACUUUGGGAUAACUUCAGGAAACUGGGGCUAAUACCGGAUAGGAGCUCCUGCUGCAUGGUGGGGGUUGGAAAGUUUCGGCGGUUGGGGAUGGACUCGCGGCUUAUCAGCUUGUUGGUGGGGUAGUGGCUUACCAAGGCUUUGACGGGUAGCCGGCCUGAGAGGGUGACCGGCCACAAUGGGACUGAGAUACGGCCCAGACUCCUACGGGAGGCAGCAGUGGGGAAUAUUGCACAAUGGGCGGAAGCCUGAUGCAGCAACGCCGCGUUCGGGAUGACGGCCUUCGGGUUGUAAACCGCUUUCGCCUGUGACGAAGCGUGAGUGACGGUAAUGGGUAAAGAAGCACCGGCUAACUACGUG